rnacentral:rRNA from 1 species
UACGUAGGGGGCAAGCGUUGUCCGGAAUCAUUGGGCGUAAAGAGCGUGUAGGUGGCCCGGUCAGUCCGCCGUGAAAGUCCAGGGCUCAACCCUGGAAUGCCGGGUGGAUACUGCCGGGCUGGAGUCCGGAAGAGGCGAGUGGAAUUCCUGGUGUAGCGGUGAAAUGCGCAGAUAUCAGGAGGAACACCAAUGGCGAAGGCAGCUCGCUGGGACGGUACUGACACUGAGACGCGAAAGCGUGGGGAGCAAACAGG